UAAAAGAAAUGAGAGAUAGUUUGUAUGCCUUUGCGUUGGAUCCCUCUGCGUUAUGGAGAACACCGAGGUAGAACAAAAUCAACGGCCAAGAUAUUGUUUCAGUCGUCAUUUUUUGGAUUGGUGGUCUGAUUGUUGCUCGUCCACAU